AAAAACAGCGCCUUUUGAUGACUUCACGCGGGGUCGUGGGGACGCCCAGACGCCGCCAGGGAUGCCACGCGCUGAGAGCAGCGCGCAGCGACGGCAGCAGCAGGAAAAGUGGGGAAAGGCCCAAUUAUGGUUUUCAGAAUGAGCUCUGCCAAGCUUUAACCUGAAGACAUGUUACUUUCCACAAGAAACCGAACAGGCUUGGUUUCACUUUAACAAUAUAAGUAGUGCUAACCCAUGAAGCGGCUUCUAAAAUCAAUAAUAGAUAUGGUAAAAGCGCUCUGGAAAUCUGGCACUAAAACAACAAGCGACUAGCAAUUAACAUUGAUAGCCAGACAGCCCAAUUCUGAUGCGGGGGCCGCGCCAGUGCAUUUUCCCACCAGGCCGGCACAAUUGGCACAUACGCCGAUGGGGAGGGUAAACUGGGAGGAGGGUGGAUGCCACAGAGAUCCAUGGUAACUGACCUGGAAGAACCAUGCUGACCUAAAGCUGGUGGCGGGCUGGGGCAUUCACGGAGGUGGAGCCAACUUUAGUCAGUUUCCACCAGACUUUGGAGCCAGGAAUAACCCUGGCGCAGGCCUUGAACUUAACACCAUCCCAAAGGCCCCCAGAGCCCUUGGAAAUCACUCUUGGAAAGCCUCGCUGAUUUUAUAAACACUUCUAACGCUUGGGUGCUCAAAUGUCAAGGCUUACGUUUUUCAAGAUGCUCAUGCAGACCACUCUCAUUGGAUGUUGGUAAAAAAGUGGGCCCCUUGCUCUUUCCGUUCUUUCCCAACAUCGCCAAGAAAGCUUUGAGUAUUAAAUAGUUAAUAAUUCUUUGUACAACCCAAAUGGCCUUUUCAGGGAUGGAAGCUUGAAGAACUGUAUAGUUUGUCAAAGACUUUCCCGGCUGGAAUCACUGGGGCGUUGUGGGGUUUCCGGGCUGUAUGGCCGUGUUCCAGUAGCAUUUUCUCCUGACGUUUCACCUGCAUCUGUGGCUGAUGCAGGUGAAAUUUCAGGAGAAAAUGCUACUGGAACAUGACCAUACAGCCCAAAAACCCCACAACUGUAUAGUUCUCGUGAGUUCCGGGACAAAGUAGCAAAACUGAGCUUAAAGCAUGCUGCUUUUUAGCAUUCGGGACAAUGAGACAUAGUGGUUUGAUUGUAGAACAUGUACAUUAAAUAACAAGAUUUUAAAAUCUCACUGUAAUGACUUGUGUCCAGUUACUGUAGUGUGUCCCACUGUACUGUGAAUGUCUUAUAUUAAGAUGAAAUUGAUUCUUUUUCUAACUUGCUCUUUUUCAUGUCAGUAUUUUAAAAAAAAACCUAAAACAACGUUGCCUUUUUCAGAGUUUGCUCUGGAUGUUUUGUCUGUCUGAACAAUAGACCUGUACUAUAGGGAUUGGGGGGAGGAGGGUAGUACAUAAUUUCUUCUAGUCUUGCCAGUGGUUUGUUUCAUAUUUUAGGAUGAGGUGAACUUGUAAGACAUUUGCAGGACGGGACAAAUGUUCAGAUAAAUGCAAGACAUUGGGACGCUGCUUUCACACAAUAUUAGCUAAUGUCUACCAAACGGUCCCAACACCAAAGUCUCUUCCAAAGCCCACUUGGGUUCCAGUUUGCACGUCGGGCUCUGGAGAAGUAGAAUUAUACCACUCUUGUCAUUAUUGUCAAAGGUUCCACUUGUGCAGUUGCAAAAUUCCCUUGUUAUUGGAAUCUUUGGACUGGGUACAUCUGGUUGCAGACCCCUGGGUUAAACUUUCUCAGUAGCAUGAAAAUGAAACCGCAAAACAGACUGUAAAAGACCCGGAACAUCUGAAUGCCUCAGCUUUAAAAAAAAAAAAUUAAUGUGUCUGACUCUAAUAUACUCUCUUUUUGUGAGUUCAUGUAUGCUGUUCAAAUGCAGUACUGUUAUGACCACUAAGAUGUAUGUAAAGAUCUCAGCUUUUGUCAAAACUAUUAAACUCGCUCCGGUUAGUUCUGCUGCCUUUAUGGUAACUUCUCAUGGUCUUUUUAACAUACGUGUUUUUAAGAGUGAAAAAAGUGUUUGCUUUUUUUAAAAAAAGAAAAGAAAAUCAGACUCAUCAAAAACAAUUUGAAGUCUGUCUAGUUCCUAAAGUUUUAAAUGUACUAGAUUAAUGCAAAUAAACAUUUUUGUGCAAUUUGGAA